AAAAAAGCGCUAAUUUUAGAAUUUGAUUAAACAAAUGCGGAGGGUUCAGGCGCGAGUCGGUCACGUGAUGUGCUCCUCAGUUCUGUCAGUAGGGGGAGUGGGAGAACGCGUGUGUGUCAUCGUAUCUGUUCUGCUCAUCUAGCGCGUAUUUCUUUAUUAAUAUCUGCUGGGUGAAUAUUAAUACGUAUAUGCUAACAUUAAUUUUGUGACCACAAAAUGACAGAGAGCUAUUAUACUGUACGAGAUAUUGUGUCGUCGUGUUUGUCUUCACUCACUUCAUCAUUAUCUGGUAAGUGCUAUAUGCAAUAUCUGGUAUGAGACUUUAUUGGCACUAAAGGGUUCUUUCGGCUAAAUUUUACUUAAUUUCUGUCAUAACAGCAAACAACUUCUGCAACUUCACAAUGAUUGUCUGCGUGUGUGCAAAAGAAAGAAUGUUCACUGUGUAAAACCCCGCGCAGGGCAUUUUCAAAUUAACGGUCAGGGCGAGUCUGAGCUUAUCGUGUUGUGUUGACAGAGACUUUGCUGAGUGUAUGUAAAUCUGGGCUACAGUCCACGACAAAUUUUCUACGGUAGUUUUACGCCUGCAUGCUCGUCCUCUCGUCUAUCGCGGGGAGAUCAUCACUACAGCGGGAAUCGCAUUGAAGAGAUCCUGUGCUUGUUGCGUGGCGGUGUGUUUGUGUGCUCACUUGGAUUGAGACCAGCAGUGCUUUUUUAAACAAUUCUUUAUGACAUCAAGAUGUGGUUUGGGAAGGACCUUCAUCUAAAUCUGAAGACAGGACAUACUGGCUCAAAAAGGUGUUUCUGAUAUGGAGAAAAACCCUGCACUGCUCAUUUUAUUUCUUCAUCUUGAGAAUACAGCAAGUUUACCUUUUGUCUGGAAAAUGAUUCAGCAAAGCUAACACCAACAACAAUUUUUCAUGGCACUUUAAACCACCUUGAUGUGAGGAGCCAGCAUCAGAAUGGAUGGUGUCAAUAUCCUGAAAGUGGAGGUAACAGAGGUGGAUCUCAAGACUUGGCCAUGUUCUAGAUUAUAACUGGAUUAUCACAAGUGCUGUCGCCCCUGCUGUAUAUGACGCCCCCACCACCUACACCAGGUGUAGGAAAUGUCGGUCCUGGAGUGCCGUUGUCCUGCAGAGUUUUGCUCCAGCUCUAAACAAACACACCUGAACAACUAGAUCUGAAGAGUCACCAGUAAACUACAGGUAGGCGAGGUUUUAUCAGGGUUGGAAAUAAAAUCUGCAGGAUUUCAGCACUCCAGGACCGACGUUGCCUACUCCUGACCUACACCUUCAUCCUGCCACCACCACCCAUACUACCUACAAAAAACUGUAUUGUAAUAAUGCUUUUCACUGUAUUGUAUGAUGUGGUUUUCUCAUUUAGGGUAACUACACUAUGGCAACCAUUUGAUAAAUUGAUUGCUGACUGAUUUUGUUAUUUUUUUUACUUUUUGUUUAAAAUCUAAUCAUUUUUUUGUUUUUGUUUUGUUAAUAUUGUUACAAAUAUACAGUUAAAACUGCACAAUAAAUUUUCUGCUUUUAAAGAUAUAGUUGU